rnacentral:tRNA from 1 species
GUUAUAGCUCAGCGGUAGAGCGCUCACCUCGCAUGUGCAAGGCCCUGGGUUCGAUCCUCAGCAUAACA